rnacentral:rRNA from 1 species
AACGAACGCUGGCGGCGUGCCUAACACAUGCAAGUCGAACGAGAAAGGGGCUUCGGCUCCGAGUAAAGUGGCGCACGGGUGAGUAACACGUGGGUAACCUGCCUCUAAGAUUGGGAUAACUCGUCGAAAGAUGAGCUAAUACCGAAUAAGACCACAGUUCCUGCGGGAACAGGGGUCAAAGGUAGCCUCUGCUUGCAAGCUAUCACUUAGAGAUGGGCCUGCGCACCAUUAGCUAGUUGGUAGGGUAACGGCCUACCAAGGCAAAGAUGGUUAGCUGGUCUGAGAGGAUGAUCAGCCACACUGGAACUGAGGCACGGUCCAGACUCCUACGGGAGGCAGCAGUGGGGAAUAUUGCGCAAUGGGCGAAAGCUUGACGCAGCAACGCCGCGUGAGUGAUGAAGGCCUUCGGGUCGUAAAGCUCUGUCGGGAGGAACGAAUGCUCCUGAGGUUAACAGCCUCGGGAGGUGACGGUACCUUCAAAGGAAGCACCGGCUAACUCUGUGC